rnacentral:rRNA from 1 species
AUUCGUAGAGAUCGGGAGGAAUACCAGUGGCGUAGGCGCCCUUCUGGACGGUAACUGACGCUGAGACGCGAAAGCGUGGGGAGCAAACAGGAUUAGAUACCCUGGUAGUCCACGCUGUAAACGAUGAUCACUAGGUGUAGCGGGUACCCA